CUUAUCCUCACAACAGCCCUUGAAGGUAGAAAUUAUCUCCCAUUUUGCAGAUGAUGAAUUCAGCCAAGGAAGAGAAGUUAUUUGCCUCAACAUAGGCUGAGACAGAAAUCACACGCCAAUUUCAAAGAAACCGGGCCCCAAACAAAGUGAAGCCCCUUCUCAGCCAAGCAAAAUAACCCCAAAUUCCAUUCCUGUUCUUUUAAAUCUUACUGAGUUUCUACAAAGUCCUGAGUGGAGACUAUUAUCCCUCAUUACUAAUUGCAAGAAAUCAGGUCGAAAAAACCUUGUGUCUCGUCAUCUGGUCUCCAAUUGAGUGGGCUUCCAAAUAUCCGUUUUCAAAACAUCUUCUCAAUCUUCAACAUUCACGUUUUUAUUGAAUUUAUUGGGGCAAUAUCAGUUAAUAAAAUUGUUUCAGGUGUACAAUUCCAUAAUGUGCCAUCUCUACAUUAUAAUGUGUGUUCACCACCCCACAUCAGGUCUCCUUCUAUCACUAUUUAUCCUCCCAUUACCCUCUUCUAUCUACCCCCAUCAUUUCCCUCUAAACAUUCGUUUUCACUCACUGUAAGCUUUUAUCACAUCUUCCGUACCGCCAAAACCCACCACCCUCGCCAAAAACCCAUUUUUCUGACCUCAAUUCAACUUCUAAACAUCCCUGUUGAUACCAGAUUCCUCAGCUUCCAAGAUCAUUGAACUCCAGGAAACUGUUUAUUUCAAAAUCUUUCCCAGGCCUCCCUUCAACCCAAACGCCCGCCCUCAGCGCCAGCACCUUGUAUUGAAGCGUGCGCGGCUCGAUCAUCUCCAGGGGCCGUCCGUUCACCUUUAUGAGGCCGUUGCCCCGUUUGCAGUGCGCCACGGCUGUGGCGGUCUUCUGCAGAAAGCGAGGGGAGAGACGAGGGCCACGUGAGAUCAGGAUUCCGGCUCCCAUGUAGGCCCCAGAAACCUGCCCAUCGACCUCUUCCAGACCCCGGGUUUCCCGGCCCCUCUCAACCGGCGCCCGGCUCACCUUGCGUCCGAAGACCUGCACAGACUGCAGAGGCCCCUUGGAUGGCAUGACUGCGGGAGUACACCAGAGAUGCUCACCGCGCGGCGCCGACACCGGAAAA